AAAAGGCUUGCAACUGAAAAAACACGAGCGAUACAGAGAAAGGGAAGGAGAGAAAAAAAAAAGCUUGCGAUACAGGGGAGAGACAGAGUUCGUGCGGCCGGCCAUCACCAUCCCUUGCCAGACUUAGACCACCGGAACCGGCACCGGUAACCUAAAGGUGCAUGCAGGAAUUGAGAUGCGGAGAUAGAGAGAACUACCACCGGUAUUUGGGUUACAUUUGGUUUGGAUUUUAAAAGAGAAGAGAGAAAUUACUGAAAGGAUGCGUUGUUAAUAGUGAUGCGUUGUUAAGGCACAGGGGAGAAAGACAAACAUCUCAGGGCCGGUACUACCGUCGGCCUCCAACCACAAGGAAACUUUGUUUCUUCUGCUGUCGUACCGCCAGAGCUAUUAUUGGGUGGAAAGGCCAAGCCUUUGAGGCAACCCAAAGUCUAAGAAGAAUGGGUACGUCGUUUACUUAUUUAGUUUCCAAACAAUAGUGUCUGUUCAUUUUGCGGAUUGAACAGUUUCAGUAUAUAUGUUUCAAACCCACAUAACUUUUCAUCCCUAAAGAUGCUGCCUAAACUAACAACGCUUCAAUCAAAGCUAAAUAACUUCUCUUAAGCGUUAAUACCAAUUCAUUGCUUCAAACACCACUGUCUCUUAAAACCCAUAUUUCUUCUUCUUCGUUGCACAAUCUCAAUAAACACUUCAAAACCACAAAAAUCCCCACUCAAAUCUAGGAGAUUGCCUCUCAUGGCAUUUACACGGUCUGGGUGGGCAUUUACAAUGUUUGCUUAGAGGUCGUGUUCUCCUUUUUCUGCAAGCCAACAAAUGGGAUAUUGGAAAAGAUCAAGAUUCAAGGACUAAGAUGGUUCCGUUGGAGAGAGGCUACGGUGAUUUUCUCUUAAUGGGAUUUCGCCAGAAUCAUCUGACUGUUGGGAAGACAAUACGGUUUAAUUUUUUUGUUUGUUGAGAAACCUCCCCCUUUGCAGUUGGUUGGCCAAUCAUUAAUUCUAUUAAUGAUUGGAUUUAGAAUGUCAGGUUAGUUGGGUGAUAACAUGGUUUUAAGUUGCAGAAGUAUCUAACAAUGAUUUAUCAUAUAUAUUUUGAAUUUGAGGUAAUGUAACUACUACAAAUGCUUAGUCACAUAAAAAUAUUAAUAGAGAAAGACAAAAGGAUAUGUAGUAUGUUAUUCAGCUGAAGAUAUGGCUGAUAGGGCUGAUAGCAAGGCAAGUUAUUCUUUUUGGAAAAUUUUUAAAUGAGCCAAAAGCAACUUCUAAAUUGAGUUCUAUUUGUAAUAUUGCACUUUAUGUAUAUACUAAUGUUUCUCCUGUAAUUAUGUGACUCAUAUGGAUUUGUUGUGCUAGGGAAAUCAUGGUCCAAUCCCAAUACUUUUUUGCAGUGCAUUUGCAUCAAGUAGAAUUCAUGUAUGUAAUUUCAGCCAAUCUGAUGUAGAUAUGGGAAUAAGGAAAAAGUAUACCACUAAUGCUUGGGAAACCUAAGUAUACCACUGAUAAUAUAGCAGUCCUAUAGGUAAGUGCUCUGCUUAUAAUCCUUUUGGAGAUUACUUUAUGGGGAUAUUUAGAUUUUCUUAAGAAUUUUGAUUCAUGGGAACUGUUUUUGUUAAGGUGGUGAUGUCAUUGUUACAAAAAGAGGAAAAUGAAGUUUAUAAGAGGCCUAAAUCUGGGAUAAAGAAAGGGUAUUUCUUUCCCCAUUGUUAGGAAGUUUGAAUAUGCAAAAUAUUGAUAACCUAAUAAAUUUUUGUUAGUUAUGUUGUCACUUUUGUUCGUGUCAUCAACCUAAAAGGUAUAAGGUACUGUGAUUGAUAAAUUAAAGUGCUUCUUAAGAACUUUUUAUACAUUUAUUUUUAUCCUACUUAGUUUCUGAAAAUAUUUUUUUCAUCUAUUCUUUGUUUGCCAAUAUCUGUUUCUUUCUAAUGGUCAAGGUUUCAGUGAGUUAUUUGUUAAAGUUAUAUAUUGUGUUGAAUUCUUUUUUAUUUUAUUUAUCAUUUGCAUCUCUUUUUAAAAAGAAAAGUUUUGCACAUCACUUUUUAAAAAAGAUAGCAUCCUAAGGCCGUGGAAGGUAAUUAGAAGAAGCCAAUAUAUAUAUAUAUAUAUAUAUUUAUAUUUUGGCAGUGUAUGCCUAAGUUUUUGUUGGCUUGGUUCCUUAUUUCUUUGCCAUAGUCAAACAUUCUAUAUAUUUGUUUUUGCUUUUUAUAUUUUUUGUUGGCUUGAUGAGCGCAGGGGAAAGUUUCCAAAUUCUUAUUAAACUUGCAAGAUUAUGAAUACCCACACACCAUUUUGAUAUACAAUUCUUUCUCUCUCUCUCUGAAUUCAGUUAUGCCAGAUUAUUUUUGUCCAAGAUCAGUAUUAUGCGGAAGCAGCAUGUUGAUUCGUAUCAAAAAGAGUGGUGGAUUGGGUUCCAAUAACUUUCUUUUUGGGGACCUGAAUUUGAAGCAAAGAAAUAGAAAGAGAAUAUGUAAUACAGAAUUCAAUUUAAUUUUCAGUUUCUGUUUUCCAUCCUACCUGUUCUGCUGUUUUUGAAGAGUGGUUGAAAUUGUAGAACUUUGAAAUCUGAAAGUGUAAUGUUUUUUAUACAAAGUUGAUUAUCUCUUAGAUUUUAGUUAAUAUUCCA